UUUUAAUAGAAAGUGACCUUUCGUUCUGCAUAGUGAAUAGAUCUAAAAGUUAAUUGAGCUCACUGCAUUGCUGUGGUAAUUUGUUGUGGACGUAUUACCAUUAUGAGAUUAACUCUGACAUAAGUGUGUUUAAGAAUGAUCACAGGACAGACUGUAAGGGAGCUUAGAACAUCGAGGAGUGGGUGUAGAGCUUGCACAUUUUUCUCUCCUAUAACCCAUCUGCAAAGCCUGCUGGUAUUUUAUCAAAAUAAUUUGUUAAUGCUAUUGAAAUUCCAUGGGAAAGUUCAAUAUUAUUCAUGUAGAAGUCUGCUGCCUUUCUAAAAAAGCUUUCCCCUCUUGUUACUGGGCCUCCUUGGAAACGAGACUGCAGCCUUAGUGAAUUAUUGCAUAGGCCAGAUAUUCUAAUAUAUGUCUUGGAGAACUCUGCCAUCAAAAACAGCAGAAAAUGGCGUAGAGCCCAGCUGAACAUGGUCGGAAAGUACAAUUGCCAUUUAUUGCUGGCAAACAGCAGGAAGAACAACAAAACAAAAUUUAAACCCAUCAUGACUGUGAAUAUAUGGCCUGCUUUCCAAAGCUGUGCUGAUGUUUUGCUCACAUUCAGACUGUUUAUGAGUGUCUGUAACAUAGCACUUCUCUGUGCUGGGUACGCUGAGAAAGGAAAGGAAGAAACAUUGGCCAGACGAUAGAUGCACCAGAUUAGCGGUGUUGGCUAAACACAGGAUGUUCUUGAGUAAUUCAAACCUUUGAACUUGUGUCACAUUGAGACGCAAAGUGGAUUUGGCUAUUGCAUGUCCUGGCUUGCAAGUCUAUUUUCAAAAUAUUUCCUAAUUCUAUUUGCUGUGCCUGACUGUUUCUACAUCUUUCCCUCCUGAGUCUGGUUCAUGGGAGUUGUGAGGAAUCUGUGAAAAAACCUCGUCUGUUCUUUGUGCCACCCUUUUGCCACUACAGCCCAGCCUUCCAGGCCUGCUGCAAAGGUCAGCCCUGACUUGGCAGAGGAAGAGCAAGGGUCAGAAAACCGGGAUGGGGAAGGACUUAUUGAAGAACACGUGCAACCUGAUGAACCAGCUCCUCUGCAAAGUGGUGAGAGAAGGCUGAGGGCAUGGGACCAUGAUCUCCCCGAUCUGCCUGACAGCUGACUGUAUUGCAGGACAAAUUUUCUGUUGGGAAGGAAGUGACCUGUCUUACCCUGUACUGCAAGAUUACAAGAGUCAAAACAGCAAGACUGAAUGGACAGAGAUGGGAUCAGGGCGUCAGAAGCCUCAGUCAUGUGAAACUAACCAAGCAGUGGUGUCUUGAAAAGAAAUAUGUAGUGUCUGUAGCUCUUCAGGAAAUCUCAGCAUGGAUAUCCUGUUUUCUCAACCUGUAAUAAUGAACUGCUCUACCUCCUUUUCACUAUGCACAGGAUAUACAUGACUCCACCAUCUCUGUGUAUUUUGGGUUUUGCUCACUUAUUUUUAAAGUAGAAUAUACACAGUCUCUAAAAAGCAUGAGUCAGUGUCCUCUAUUAAUGUGCUCUUUUACCCUUUCUAAACUGGCAGUUUAUGACAACAGAACCACUUUUUCACUGUAGGAGAGUUAAACCUAUUUUGAAAAUUAUAAUAAGUCUUAGCAGACUUAUUCUGCAGCAAAUGUCCCUUUUCAUGUAAUUCUAGUAAUUGAUUUGGCAGACUUUGAAAGAAUAAAAUACAUGUUAAAUUAUUGUCUUAGAGACUACAACAUUUAACUUGAAAGUCAUAUGACAAUUGUCAGGGACUAUGUUUGUAGGCACAGUGAAGGAAGAAUUCCUUUAGGAAAAAUUGAGAUUUUAAUUAUUGACUUCUAGGAAGACAUGAUUAACAAGGGCUUCUCAUCCUCAGUUAUCAAAUCCCAAGUGUCUGCUCCUGUAUCUGCUGUUUCUUAAGUCAAAUCCCCAAACUUCCUUCCAGUUCUCAGCAUAGCCUCAUUAAAUCAACUGUACUUAAACCUUCAGUAGAUUAGAACUUGUUAGGAGAAUGUAGAUGUAACACUUGAUUACCUUUCUAAAGCUGAUGACAAGAAUUGAUUUUUAGAGAUUUGUCACCCCUGGCAUAGCCAACAAUCCACCUCCUCCCUAUCCCCAACUUUCUCAUGCAUGAGGAAUUAACCCAUGCAUUUAGCAGACUUCCAGUAAAUAACCUAUUCUGCUCAUAGGCAAUUGUUGAAGUUUUGCCUCAGAAUAUGAAUGUUCCUAAAAUUCUGCAAUCUACUGAUACCAUAUGUCUUGUAUUAUCUUUAGAAAAGUAUCACCACCAAGAAAAGAGGUUGUACACCAUCACAGCAGGAGGCUUUGUGCUAUGUAAUUAGACCUAAGACAAGACCUAAAUUUUAUUGAGGCCAAGGACAGCUACACCACUGCUGUUUGCACUGGAAUAUUAAUAGACAAAAGACCUAAGUAUACUGUUGAAAAACUGGUUAUAAUGGACUUGAUUUAUUUUGUUAAGUAUGCAUACGUUUUCUGCGAUGCAAAGCACACUAAUUCAUCAAGAAAAAUAAGCAAAAACAAUUAAAUUAUUUAAUAAUUAAUUAAAAAAAUAAUCAUUUUACUGAAUCAUCAUAUACCUCAGAUCAAUUUUGUAAUAGUAUAUAACAGCCUAUUAUAGUCGGCCAUGGCUAUUUAACAGUAUUUGCUUCUGCUUCACCACAAGUUAAAAAUUGAACAAACAGAAUAUAAUGUUGUUACUGUACUUUUUUUUGUUUUUUUUGUGGGCAGUUUUUCUAGCCAUUGUAAUUUGCUCUGAAAGUAAUGCCUCCUAUUUAUUUCCAUGGAAAUUACUACAGAUAUGAGGAACUCAAUAGCAUUAUUUAAUAGAGCAAAUUCUUAGCUACAAAACAUUAUUUUUCAACACAGUCACCAUCAUUAGCUGUGCAUUUUCACUAGCAAUGAACAAGAGCCUGCACUGCCUCACUGUGCUCACAUCCACUGUCUGGUGUCCGUAAACCUUCAGCAUGUGUUGAUGAAUGUCAGUGGGAGCCAUUUUCUUUGCAUGGAGGCAUUCAGUUUCACACCUUUUCUUCAUAUGCAUUUCCAUGUCAGACACUAUUUUGUCAGACUGCCCCUCUGCUGCCAUCUGUCACACGGCUACAAAAUGUAACAGAAUAUUGGUGGGGAGGUUCAGCUUCUACUGCCAUACCACUACCAUCUGCCUCUGACAUCUUUCGCCAACAUAAUAAAAUAGGAGGAGUUACUUUUGGAGCAGCUCUCAUUGAAUAUUAUUUUCAAGUAAGUUAGAUGGAGUAGAGUGCUAUCACUCUUUGACUUAUUGGAUGCAAGAUUAAUUAGCAGGUUAAUUUUAACAUUUGGUUACUAUCAAGGCUUUACAUAGCUUAACUCGUCCUUUCAAAAUGAUUUAUUGAUUACUUAUUCACAAGUUGUUUUCUUCGUUCAUCUUCCAAACAUUUACAUUCACCUCAUACGUAGGCUACAAAUGUUUUAUGUGGAUUAUAUGCAUUCACACAGUAUGUGCCCUUGGCAAUGAAAGUUCACUGCAAAUUUAAUCGUUUCUGAGUCACCUAUCCAAUUUCUUCUCUGAAGUUACAGUUGCAAAAUCUUAUUGGUAUUUUAUUUCAUUGUAAAAGCUUCAGAUAGUUACUUGAAUUAUCUGCUUAAUAAAGGAUGCAUUUAAUGAUCCUUUUUUUUUUCUUUUUUUCUCUCGUAAGCACAUUUCAUACUAACGAAUGCUCAAGUUACAUUUGUACAGGAAUUUUCUUCAUCCACUCUUGAAAUUUAGCUACACUGCUAAGAAGACUGCUGAAAAACAUGCAAAAAGAAGAUUAUUCACAUUUGACCAAAAAAGUCUGGAAACAUCCCCUUCUCUGACGAUAUCAUCAUGGCUCUCUAGUGUCUGUGAAUUGCCACCACAACUCUACUUUACAGAAGAUUUUGUCUAUAAAAUAUUCUGUUCUAAGUUUCAUGGAGCUCAAUUUGUCUCAGUUGGAAGAGUGAGAGUAGGGUUGCUAGAGUCUGCCAGUUUUGAACCUACAGUUCAAGGGAAUCCAGGUAUUUCAAACCCAGCUUGGAGCACUAGAACAGCUCCUCCACUUUUUGAAGUGCCAGCUUAAUGAAUCAUUCUCCACAAAAUAGUCGCUUCUGACAUUUCAGCCAAAGCCCUGCUGCUUUUUCAGAGCCUGUAUGCUUUUAUCUUGCACACUGGUCUGAGCUGCAAAAAAUGUUCCAGUUUAUCACACAGUGUUCUGUACAGUCACUUAGAAAUAUGCUUGUGCUCGCUGAGUGAAUAUUGAUAAGAUAUCUCGAGACUGCGAUAAAAAUGGGGCAAAGAGAAGAUAUAUUUCAAAUUUGAUAAAUAAAGUCCUUAA
ensembl:lncRNA